rnacentral:rRNA from 1 species
GAUGAACGCUGGCGGCGUGCCUAAUACAUGCAAGUCGAGCGAAUGGAUUAAGAGCUUGCUCUUAUGAAGUUAGCGGCGGACGGGUGAGUAACACGUGGGUAACCUGCCCAUAAGACUGGGAUAACUCCGGGAAACCGGGGCUAAUACCGGAUAACAUUUUGAACCGCAUGGUUCGAAAUUGAAAGGCGGCUUCGGCUGUCACUUAUGGAUGGACCCGCGUCGCAUUAGCUAGUUGGUGAGGUAACGGCUCACCAAGGCAACGAUGCGUAGCCGACCUGAGAGGGUGAUCGGACACACUGGGACUGAGACACGGCCCAGACUCCUACGGGAGGCAGCAGUAGGGAAUCUUCCGCAAUGGACGAAAGUCUGACGGAGCAACGCCGCGUGAGUGAUGAAGGCUUUCGGGUCGUAAAACUCUGUUGUUAGGGAAGAACAAGUGCUAGUUGAAUAAGCUGGCACCUUGACGGUACCUGACCAGAAAGCCACGGCUAACUACGUGCCAGCAGCCGCGGUAA